rnacentral:tRNA from 1 species
GUGGCCAUGGUGUAAUGGUUAACACAGCGGGUUGUGGUCCCGCUGAUGAGGGUUCGAUUCCCUCUGGCCACC